rnacentral:rRNA from 1 species
UACGGAAGGCAGCAGUGGGGAAUAUUGCACAAUGGGCGAAAGCCUGAUGCAGCUAUGCCGCGUGUAUGAAGAAGGCCUUAGGGUUGUAAAGUACUUUCAUCGGGGAGGAAAAAACAAAACUAAUAAUUUUAUUUCUUGACGUUACCCGAAAAAGAAGCACCGGCUAACUCCGUGCCAGCAGCCGCGGUAAUACGGAGGGUGCUAGCGUUAAUCAGAAUUACUGGGCGUAAAGAGCACGUAGGCGGUUUUUUUAAAGUCAGAUGUGAAAUCCCUGGGCUUAACCUAGGAACUGCAUUUUGAAACUGAAAUACUAGAGUAUCGUAGAGGGAGGUAGAAUUCUAGGUGUAGCGGUGAAAUGCGUAGAUAUCUGGAGGAAUACCUGUGGCGAAAGCGGCCUCCUAAACGAAUACUGACACUGAGGUGCGAAAAGCGUGGGGAGCAAACAGGGAUUAGAUACC